rnacentral:lncRNA from 1 species
GCACGCACCUCCUAAUCCCCCAGGGGCCAUCUAGACUGGGAGUGAACCCUCGCGUAGGCCGCGCGGGCCAGCCUGAACCGCAAACUCCGAGAAAGGCGGGCGAAUCCGGGGGAGCUGAACUUGCAGCACCCACGAGGGCAAGUCCACGUGCGCGGCCGCGCCCCCCCACCUCGGGCGACCAAUCAGCGCUCGCCCCUCCGCGAGGCUGCCCCGCCCCGCCGCUCCUUUGCAGCUCUCGGCGUCGGGAUCGCGGCUGACGGCUCCCUGGCGCCGGCAACAUGGCGCGCGGCAGGAUCUCCCGCCUCUCGGUCCGGGACGUGCGCUUCCCCACGUCGCUCGGGGGCCACGGCUCAGACGCCAUGGUAAGCGUGACCGACUGCCCAAGGCGCCGCCGGGACAACACCCAGGCCCGCGAGUCGCGGGCUUUACCUGGCUUCAGUACAGUGGGACCUGGAUGCGCGGGGAAGGUGGACGCUUUUCAUAUCGCUGAGGAAGCAGCCAGAAACUCUUCACCUUUCUGGUUUAUUUUUUCCCCUUGUUUAUCGUAUUUUAUUUGCCCGCGUUUGAAAUGUCUUGGUUUUACUUUUUUUGAUUCACGUUUUCCUGGAAAGGAGAGAGUGCUUAUUAUUCAAUAAGUGCAAAAGAGUUCUAUAGGGUCCCCACCAAGGAAACCCGAGAAAACAGUGCUGACAGCUUCCCCGCGGUGAACUUGAUAGGAUUUGAAGUGACAGAGACCAGGAAGUCCGGUGCUGGGAGUCUGGAGUGGUGAUCCUGCCCCUGCCACAACUUUGCUGUGUACCUUGGAGAAGACCCAAACUUCUCUGUGCCUUUUGGGACUAUGAAACGAAGGGGUCACAGUUGGAAUGAGAAACUAAGCACCGAAAAAUACUCUAGGCACAUAGGAGAACACUCGUGAAAUUACUGUACUUAGAAACUUGGUUAGGAAGGAUUUGUCACUGUAAGGAGUUAUGCAAAAUAUUGAAGGACUUUUUCCCCUUAAUGAGAAUGUCAGAGGGACCCCUCUCCCUAUCCCAGCGCCCCCACCUCCCAGCUGUCUCUAGUGGUGUUCCUAAAUAUAAAGGUUCUGAGCAGGAUUUUGUUUGGGGGAUUUUUCCUCCUUCUGCAGUUCUGGGAUUCCAUCCCUGGGACUUGUGGCAUAUUAGGCAAGCACUCUACCUCUGAGUACAUCCUCAGCCUCUGAGAAGGGUCUUCACAGGGAUUGUGCCCCACUGGAUCCACUUUGCUCCUCUGGUGAGAUGGCCAUACUAGGAAAAAGUUGACUCCAUAUGUAGGAAAUGUAAAAAAACUUACCCCAAAGUGAGAAAUAACCAAAAUUAGGAAAAUGUUUCCUUGUAGGGGUGAAGAGGAAAUGGGGUGAGGAAAGGUACCCAAGGACUCGUUAUUCACACUGUGAUGUUUUACUUUCCAAGAUGGGUAGAUGGCAGAUUGGUGGUCUUUACAUUUUUCUCUGCUCUUUAUGAACCUGAAAUUCUUUGUAAAAGAAUUUUCUAAUAGUCCUCUCAAAACAUGCUAAAUAAUGUUAUUAAAUGCAAAAAAAAAGUAUCCCUUAUUCUGGCAUUAGCAUCUUACUGCUUUUCAAAAUUCCUACAAGUCCUUUCACAAAUGAUAUUAUGAUAAAUGACUUUUUGUAAAUCCAGUUGAUGAUCCUUUGUGGACCUCCAAAUAAAUAUUUGAAAUUUUACUAAUUUGUAAAAGUGCGAACACUUAAUUGAGUGCUACUGCAUUUGCCCCUCUGAAGCUUGACAGCUGUGGGUAAACCCACAUUCUAAGCCUAGGCUUUCUCAUCUAUAAAAUGGGUACAGUGGUGUCUACUUCAUGCAUGUAAAAUAAGAUACUUGAAAAGAGCUGACAGAGAGAAGGUCCUCAAUAAGAAUUGGCUAUAGUUACUAUUUACAUAAGAGGAAACUGAAAGCAGAAAGAACUCUGACCUCGCCCUAAGCUUUGAAUUUGUGAAGUGUUAAGAUAAACUAUUUUAUUAUAGGAGAGUUUAAGAAAUAGCAUUUGUUUCUGGGACUGAGUGGUGUAUGACCCCUAGGUGAGGAAAAAUUAUCUGAUACCUGUAUUGCAAUUUCAUAAACACAUAAGCAUUUCUCCUCAGGAGAUAGAGUGUAUGUUAUGUGCUGACUCUCAAGCGUUUAGUAGAACACGCUGCUUUGCAGUUCUCCACGGUGAUUGCUUCAUUUGCCCUCUGGCCAUGCUGAACUCAGCACUUCAGCUACUUUUCAGCACUUAGCAGAGCAAAACUUCCUGAUGAGAAGUCUGGUAUUUUUAUAAAGGAGUCCUGAAACUGUCUUCAAAAUCUGUUAAAGCAGAAGUUCCUGAUCAUUUCUUUCUGCCCUUGUUGGAAACAUGGAGCACUCAGCCUGCAUGUAUUUACUACUUUCUUGCUUCCCAGCACUCAUCAAGCACCCAGAGAGCCCCUCAGCUGUGAGCUCGCAUCCCAGCUCAGCUGCCCACUGGCACCUCCUUGCAGUAUUUUUCCUCUUAUUUGCUCCUUGUCUGUGAGCUCCCUUAAUCCCUAGUCCUGUCCUCCCAGCAGUUAGAAGAUGUUGCCUACUGCAUCACUGAGAAGACUGAAGACAGUCAUACUCUUGGCCCCAUCUGUGCACACAUGUCUCCAAACCAACCCCUCUCCUAUUUCCCUUUAUUCUUUUUUUUUUAAAAGAGAGAGAGAGAGAGAAUUUUUUAAAUUUUUUAAUAUUAUUUUUUAGUUUUCAGCGGACACAACAUCUUUGUUUGUAUGUGGUGCUGAGGAUUGAACCCGGGCCGCACGCAUGCCAGGCAAGCACGCUACCGCUUGAGCCACAUCCCCAGCCCUCCCUUUAUUCUUUAUCAUGUCCUGCUCCAAAGCUAAUCAUUCUCCUUCCCUUAUUUAUUCUCAAGGGUCCCACUUAUAUCCCUUUGUCCUUCAGUACUCCCUAUUUACUUUGGUUCUCUUCCAUCCCACAUGGACAGAGCUUUCCCUUUAGAAGAGUCUGAGUUUGAUCCUUACACCUUUCUAGCUCCUUUUGGUUUCUUCCUCUCAUCCCCAAACUUCCUGCUCUAGGUCUGUUGCCUUAUCCUUUACAUCUCCUUCCUUCUUAAUCUGAAAUUGACUACUCUUUCCUUCCUUCUCUUGGAAUUGCCUUCAGUUUUUUCUCCUUCCAGUGACCUUUACGCUCCAUGCAUUUCAUGCCAUCUGCUGUCUCUUCCUUGUGCAUCUGUCUAGCUCCCAGCCUCAGCCUUUCUGACUACUCCUUCUUCCUGCACUGGCCCCCUUCUUCCCUCUCCAAGGCUUUCCCAUCUCACUGCACAUUCCCAUUAAGACUCUUCUCUAGCCAGGCUUGAUGGCACCCACUUGUGAUCCCAGUGACUUGGGAGGCCGAGGCAGGAGGAUCAAUUGCAAAUUCAAGACCAGCUUUGGUGACUUAGUGAGACUUUGUCUCAAAAUAAAAGAAUAAAAGGGCUGGGUAUGUAGUUCAGAGAUAAAACACCCCUGGUUCAAUCCCCAGUACCAUAAAAAAAUAAAAAAUAAAAACAAUAGAAAACAACAACAACAAAAUGGGUUAAUUUGUCUUGAAGCUUUACUUCUUUUUCUGCCAGUAGUCUCUGAACUUGCACUGUUAUAUUAUCAUCCCUGCUAUAAACUAUGGCAGUGAAGAUCAGUCCAAUUUUAUGUAAGAGCUUUCUGAAACCUUGGCUUGUUCAAUUUUAAGCUACUUGCUAACAUAACUCUGUUCAGUGAGCUGUGAUUGGAAAUUCUUGGGUUUAAAAUUGAGCUGAGACCUGGAGACAUUGCACAGUGGUAGAGCACUUUUGUAGCAUGUAUGAAGCCCUGGUUUUGAUCACCAGCACCACAAAUGACAAUAACGGUAAUGACAAUGAUAUUAAUAUGAAAUUGAGCAGAUGACCUUUUUUUUUUUCCUUGUACCAGGCAUUGAACCCAAGGGCACACAACCACUGAGCCAUGUCUCCAGCCCUUUAUUUAACUUUUUUUUUUUUUUUGAGACAGGGUCUCACUAAGUUACUCAGAGCCUUGCCAAGUUGCUGAGGCUGACCUACAAUCUUUCUGCCUCAGCCUCCCGAGCCACUGAGAUUACAGGCAUGCAUCACCACACCCAGCUGAACAUCAGUUUUUUUGAUAUCAUUGCAAAUUGGCAUUAAAAUAUGUGUACAUCUGGGACUAGAGGUGUAGCUCAGUGGUACAGGGUAUGCUUUAGCAUGCUCCAGGACCUGAAUUCUAUCCCCAGCACCAAAGGAAAAAAAUAUACAUUGUAUUUGUUGAACGGGUGUGAACCAUUCAGGACUUUCCUUUGGUCCAUUCAGAUCUCCUGUAUUUUUGGGGGGGUGUGCCAACUCUUCCAUCAGAUUGGAUCUCUUCUUGGCAUGUCCCUUAUUGCAUUUUCUGUUUCAGGUGUCAUUGUCAUGGUUAUUUCUGGGUUUCUUACAUUUGCAUUUGGUGGGUAUGGGUCACCUUUCCUUCAGCAUACAGACCCUGACUACUCGGCUGCCUAUGUUGUCCUGGAGACUGAUGCAGGAGAUGGACUCAAGGGAUAUGGAAUUACCUUCACUCUGGGAAAAGGCACUGAAGUUGGUGAGUUGAUGAUUCUCUUGAGAUUCUAGAAUGCUUCGUUUUUCACUUAGAUUCCAGUUCUGACCUAUUUUUUUUUUUCUGUAUUUACACUUCUCAAAGGGAUUAAAAACAAUACUUAUUUUGCUGGGAGAAAUUAAAAGGUGCAGCAUUUGGCCUCUCCUCUUACAGUAAUCUAUAGACUGUGGGAAAACCCUUGACUCUGGAUCUGUUUCUCUGUGUUGAAUGGUGACUACCAGAAUGCUAUUCAGCUGCUUUUAAGUCUCGGCUUCUGUAGGUCUUUGAGGACCUGUACUAGGAAAGUGACCAAGGGUGGUGGAGGGAGCAGAUAUAAGCUCACACAGCAAGGUUUAUUGUGGUGUGCACUGUGAAUCUACCUAGUUUUCAAAAUAUUUUACACAAAGUUACUUUGAGGGGCCAAUUCUUUGUG